rnacentral:rRNA from 1 species
CCCUGGCUUUCCCCCUUAUGGAAAGCCCCUCUACCCUUGAAGAUUAAGAUUUUUGUGUGGCAACUACUAUGAGAUCACAUCCCUUUGGGGACUGAGGUACUUAAGCGGCAUGGCCCGGGAGAUGGCUUGUGUCCCUUAUGCGCGGUAUCGGAGACUGGAGCCCACAUCAUAUUCUCCUGUAUGGCGGUGUGGGUCCUAUGGAUGUUCGUCCAUGAGGCAUUGGUGGCCCUGAACCUCGCAGAGUUCCUCCAAACCGGGGCUACACAUCGUACGCAACAUCGCCCCUUAUUAUGGCUUAUUUUUGCGGUGAUGUGGUGGACUCUUUGA